rnacentral:rRNA from 1 species
UACGGAGGAUGCAAGCGUUAUCCGGAAUGAUUGGGCGUAAAGCGUCCGCAGGUGGCAAUGUAAGUCUGCUGUCAAAGCGUCUGGCUCAACCAGAUAAAGGCAGUGGAAACUACAUAGCUAGAGUAAGGUAGGGGUAGAGGGAAUUCCUGGUGUAGCGGUGAAAUGCGUAGAGAUCAGGAAGAACACCGGUGGCGAAAGCGCUCUGCUGGGCCGAAACUGACACUGAGAGACGAAAGCUAGGGGAGCAAAUGGG